rnacentral:rRNA from 1 species
ACGAUGAACCACUUCGGUGGGGAUUAGUGGCGAACGGGUGAGUAACACGUGGGCAAUCUGCCCUUCACUCUGGGACAAGCCCUGGAAACGGGGUCUAAUACCGGAUACCACCUUCACUGGCAUCUGUGAAGGUUGAAAGCUCCGGCGGUGAAGGAUGAGCCCGCGGCCUAUCAGCUUGUUGGUGAGGUAAUGGCUCACCAAGGCGACGACGGGUAGCCGGCCUGAGAGGGCGACCGGCCACACUGGGACUGAGACACGGCCCAGACUCCUACGGGAGGCAGCAGUGGGGAAUAUUGCACAAUGGGCGAAAGCCUGAUGCAGCGACGCCGCGUGAGGGAUGACGGCCUUCGGGUUGUAAACCUCUUUCAGCAGGGAAGAAGCGAAAGUGACGGUACCUGCAGAAGAAGCGCCGGCUAACUACGUGCCAGCAGCCGCGGUAAUACGUAGGGCGCAAGCGUUGUCCGGAAUUAUUGGGCGUAAAGAGCUCGUAGGCGGCUUGUCACGUCGGGUGUGAAAGCCCGGGGCUUAACCCCGGGUCUGCAUUCGAUACGGGCUAGCUAGAGUGUGGUAGGGGAGAUCGGAAUUCCUGGUGUAGCGGUGAAAUGCGCAGAUAUCAGGAGGAACACCGGUGGCGAAGGCGGAUCUCUGGGCCAUUACUGACGCUGAGGAGCGAAAGCGUGGGGAGCGAACAGGAUUAGAUACCCUGGUAGUCCACGCCGUAAACGGUGGGAACUAGGUGUUGGCGACAUUCCACGUCGUCGGUGCCGCAGCUAACGCAUUAAGUUCCCCGCCUGGGGAGUACGG